ensembl:lincRNA Gm42487 predicted gene 42487
UGAUUAUUGAGCUAAGGACUGGCUGUAGCCUAGACAGUCUUCCAGCCUGGACGGAGGCCUCCUGAGCAACUCAGAGUGAAUGUGUUUUCAGAGUUAAGUACCAGGUCAUCGGGAGGUCUCUACUUUGAAAGUGGGGAAACUGAGUCUCAAGCUCGGGGACAUCAAUAGUCAGGAAGCUCAGAUCCACAGAGAGAAGCUGGCUUCUGCCCGAGUUCCAUACUCCUCUAGGCUUCUCCAUCGGCCACAUGGACUGCACUAGGAGGUCUGUGUCCCUCGUUGACCCCGAAGCCACCUCCUUGUUCCUUGUGGUACCCAACAGGGCACAAGGAUAGCUUCCCCAGGGAAGGUUACAGAUGUGUGUCUCUCAGCCAAGGACAGAGCCCAGGACAACAGACAGACAAACAGAUGGAUGGACGGGAGGCUCCUGCUCCUUGUUACAGUCAAGUGCAUCAUCUCUGUCUGAGCCUGCCACC